rnacentral:rRNA from 1 species
AUGGCAGGGCGUACCUCCAGCAAAGACAACUCAUUCCAGGUCAUCAACAUCGACAUCUCCUACUACUGCAUUUGUGACACUGAGGUCAACAUUAAUGCCUCCUCCGACCUUGGCCUCACGCCCUUCCGCAUUAGCGCGACCAACCAAGAGCUAUUCUUCCUCAACAAAUGCACCAAGCUCCGGUCACAGCCGCCACCACCUGCGUGGGCGCCUGUCAACUGCUUGGAUGGAUUCACCUUGCCGACGUCCAACUCAUUCACAUGGCUUGCCGGAGCGUACAAGCCCAACGACCAUCGGAGUCCGGUGCCAGUGGGCUGCAGGGUGUCCAUGAUGUCGGUGCUGGGGUACGAGGGCGCUUCCGGGAAGGACUACGGGUGGCUGAUGCAGGGCGGGUUUCUUCUGGAGUACAUGGUGGGUGACUGCAAGGCGUGCGAGGAGAGUGGAGGGCUUUGCCUGAUUAAUAAGACCAACGAUAUCUUCGAGUGGCACUGCACAGACCACGUGUCUCCGUCCAACAUCUGCGGUAGCGAGAAGAGAGGGAAGAAGAUUAUGGUAAUAGGCAUGGUAUGA